UACGGAGGGUGCAAGCGUUAUCCGGAUUUACUGGGUUUAAAGGGUGCGCAGGCGGAUAUGUAAGUCAGUGGUGAAAUCUCUAGGCUUAACCUGGAAAUUGCCGUUGAUACUAUAUAUCUUGAAUGCUGUGGAGGUAAGCGGAAUAUGUCAUGUAGCGGUGAAAUGCUUAGAUAUGACAUAGAACACCUAUUGCGAAGACAGCUUACUACGCAGAUAUUGACGCUCAUGCACGAAAGCGUGGGGAUCAAACAGG
rnacentral:rRNA from 1 species